rnacentral:rRNA from 1 species
GAUGAACGCUGGCGGCGUGCCUAAUACAUGCAAGUCGAGCGAACAGACGAGGAGCUUGCUCCUCUGACGUUAGCGGCGGACGGGUGAGUAACACGUGGAUAACCUACCUAUCAGACUGGGAUAACUUCGGGAAACCGGAGCUAAUACCGGAUAAUAUAUUGAACCGCAUGGUUCAAUAGUGAAAGACGGUUUUGCUGUCACUUAUAGAUGGAUCCGCGCCGCAUUAGCUAGUUGGUAAGGUAACGGCUUACCAAGGCAACGAUGCGUAGCCGACCUGAGCGGGUGAUCGGCCACACUGGAACUGAGACACGGUCCAGACUCCUACGGGAGGCAGCAGUAGGGAAUCUUCCGCAAUGGGCGAAAGCCUGACGGAGCAACGCCGCGUGAGUGAUGAAGGUCUUCGGCUCGUAAAACUUUGUUAUUAGGGAAGAACAAAUGUGUAAGUAACUAUGCGCGUCUUGCCGGUACCUAAUCAGAAAGCCCCGCCUACCUACGU